AUGGUGAAAAAUCAGACAAUGGUCACAGAGUUCCUCCUACUGGGAUUUCUCCUGGGCCCAAGGAUUCAGAUGCUCCUCUUUGGGCUCUUCUCCCUGUUCUAUGUCUUCACCCUGCUGGGGAAUGGGACCAUCCUGGGGCUCAUCUCACUGGACUCCAGACUCCACACCCCCAUGUACUUCUUCCUCUCACACCUGGCCGUCGUCAACAUCGCCUAUGCCUGCAACACAGUGCCCCAGAUGCUGGUGAACCUCCUGCAUCCAGCCAAGCCCAUCUCCUUUGCUGGCUGCAUGACAUAGACCUUUCUCUUUUUGAGUUUUGCACAUACUGAAUGCCUCCUGUUGGUGCUGAUGUCCUACGAUCGGUACGUGGCCAUCUGCCACCCUCUCCGAUAUUUCAUCAUCAUGACCUGGAAAGUCUGCAUCACUCUGGCCAUCACUUCCUGGACAUGUGGCUCCCUCCUGGCUAUGGUCCAUGUGAGCCUCAUCCUAAGACUGCCCUUUUGUGGGCCUCGUGAAAUCAACCACUUCUUCUGUGAAAUCCUGUCUGUCCUCAGGCUGGCCUGUGCUGAUACCUGGCUCAACCAGGUGGUCAUCUUUGCAGCCUGCAUGUUCAUCCUGGUGGGACCACUCUGCCUGGUGCUGGUCUCCUACUCACACAUCCUGGCGGCCAUCCUGAGGAUCCAGUCUGGGGAGGGCCGCAGAAAGGCCUUCUCCACCUGCUCCUCCCACCUCUGCGUAGUGGGACUCUUCUUUGGCAGCGCCAUCGUCAUGUACAUGGCCCCUAAGUCCCGCCAUCCUGAGGAGCAGCAGAAGGUCCUUUUUCUAUUUUACAGUUCUUUCAACCCGAUGCUAAACCCCCUGAUUUACAACCUGAGGAAUGUAGAGGUCAAGGGUGCCCUGAGGAGAGCACUGUGCAAGGAAAGUCAUUCC